rnacentral:rRNA from 1 species
GCACUUUGGAAAGAGAGUUAAACAGUACGUGAAAUUGUUGAAAGGGAAACGAUUGAAGUCAGUCGUGUUCUUUGGAUUCAGCUAGUUCUUCUAGUCUACUUCCAUUGAACGGGUCAACAUCAGUUUUGUCCGGUGGAUAAAGAUAGUAGGAAUGUAGCUCCCCCGGGAGUGUUAUAGACUAUUAUUGCAUACACUGGGUGAGACUGAGGACUGCAG